AGAAGGCAAAAUCAGGACGGUGUACUUCUACGAAGGCCAAGUUUGAGGAGUGAUAGUGUUGCACCGCAGCCCUCUCCAUUGACAGUUUUAUGGCAAGCUGGGAUGGGAAGUACCCGAAGAUCUUCUUGCCUACCAAGAUGAGCUGAUGGAUGUCGGUGAUCUGAUGAAUGAAACACCCCAAGCCCAAGAGGAUGGUGGUACUCCAAUGACAGAUUCUUCACAUGAUGAAAGGCAUGUUGAUGCUGGUACUCAAAUGGAUGAUCAUGGUUCUGCUCCAACACAUGAAAAUCAUUUAGGAAUGCCAUAGUUCUAGUUAGUGCUUGUAUUGGUAACUAUAUGCGGACCCUUUUAUUUGUCAAUCGCUACUAUUGAUGGAAUUUUAGGACUCUAGUAUGUCUUUUGGUCUGGCUAAUAACUAGUGUUAAGUUGAGCUUUUGGUAAUUACGCAAAUCUGGUGAACAUGGAGGUUUGUGUAAUGGAUAUAUAUUGUGAGCUAUGAAUGGGAUGUCAUCUUAAACUGGGCCACAUGACCUUUGUUUGUGCAUGAAUAUUAAUAGCUGUAC